rnacentral:rRNA from 1 species
GAUGAACGCUGGCGGCGUGCCUAAUACAUGGAAGUCGAGCGAACAGACGAGGAGCUUGCUCCUCUGACGUUAGCGGCGGACGGGUGAGUAACACGUGGAUAACCUACCUAUAAGACUGGGAUAACUUCGGGAACCGGAGCUAAUACCGGAUAAUAUAUUGAACCGCAUGGUUCAAUAGUGAAAGACGGUUUUGCUGUCACUUAUAGAUGGAUCCGCGCCGCAUUAGCUAGUUGGUAAGGUAACGGCUUACCAAGGCAACGAUGCGUAGCCGACCUGAGAGGGUGAUCGGCCACACUGGAACUGAGACACGGUCCAGACUCCUACGGGAGGCAGCAGUAGGGAAUCUUCCGCAAUGGGCGAAAGCUUGACGGAGCAACGCCGCGUGAGUGAUGAAGGUCUUCGGAUCGUAAAACUCUGUUAUUAGGGAAGAACAAAUGUGUAAGUAACUAUGCACGUCUUGACGGUACCUAAUCAGAAAGCCACGGCUAACUACGUG